CCAAUAGCGUAUAUUAAAGUUGUUGCAGUUAAAAAGCUCGUAGUUGAAUUUCGGGGUUCUACCGUUGGUCGGGCAAUAGUCUGUACUGGCGUGUGAAAUUUCUACCUUCUGGGGAACCAUCAUGUUAUUUAUUUAGCGUGGUGGGAAACCAGGACCUUUACCUUGAAAAAAUUAGAGUGUUCAAAGCAGGCUUACGUCUGAAUACAUUAGCAUGGAAUAAUAAAAUAGGACGGUGGUCCUGUUUUGUUGGUUUCUGAAUCACCGUAAUGAUUAAUAGGGAUAGUUGGGGGCAUUAGUAUUCAAUUGUCAGAGGUGAAAUUCUUGGAUUUAUUGAAGACUAACUUCUGCGAAAGCAUUUGCCAAGGAUGUUUUCAUUAAUCAAGAACGAAAGUUAGGGGAUCGAAGACGAUCAGAUACCGUCGUAGUCUUAACCAUAAACUAUGCCGACUAGGGAUCGGACGAUGUUAAUUUUUCUUGACUCGUUCGGCGCCUUACG
rnacentral:rRNA from 1 species